UACAGAGGGGGCAAGCGUUAUUCGGAAUUAUUGGGCGUAAAGGGCGCGUAGGCGGUUGGGUGUGUCAGAUGUGAAAUCCCGAGGCUCAACCUCGGAACUGCGUCUGAAACUACUCGACUAGAGUACUGGAGAGGGUAACGGAAUUCACGGUGUAGCAGUGAAAUGCGUAGAUAUCGUGAGGAACACCAGAGGCGAAGGCGGUUACCUGGACAGUUACUGACGCUCAGGCACGAAAGCGUGGGGAGCAAAAGGG
rnacentral:rRNA from 1 species